rnacentral:lncRNA from 1 species
CUCUUUCAAGGCUACCUAUGGUGUUCAAGUUCAUAAGAAAGUUUAAAGCCUGCCUUCCUCUUUAAGAAAACCUGAAAGUUGUAGCUUUGAAAGAAUUCACUGCACUCAGACUUUAUAGUGGUGUCUGUGUUCAGGUCCAACCGGAUCUGCAGCCCCCUUCCCCCAGAAUUCUUUCUUCUGGGGGUGAGACUUACCCCACGUGGAAUGCACUCUUUGAAAGGCUCACGGAGCCUAUUCACAUGAAUGAAGCUGCUUUCCGAGGGCAGAUGCGGAAGCCGCCUUGCCUUCCGGAGGGCUUUCGCAACCUGCAGCCCGGGAGGGGAAAUUGCCCCGGGGAGCACUGUUGUCAGUGGGGACUGUCCUGGCUGUGCUCCUGCUGUCACCCGCUGACUGUCCUCUCCAAGAUGCAGUAUCUGGACCCCGAGGGGCUCCUGGGCGAGGAAGAGGAUGAUAUUUUUGGUGAAGCUGCGACGUUGAACAAAGAUGUUGGUGAUUCAGUGGGUUUCAGAAGAGAUUUUAAAGAAGGAAAAGGUAUUAGCUGAGUCAAAUGGAAAUGACUAUUUCCACUACCAGAAGGACAGAGAAGAGUUAGAUGAAGAAAAAAAAACAGUGACUGGUCCUGGAAAGUAAAAUGGAGAGAAGAAAGUACACCAAAAAUGCAGGUGCUGGUGGGAUUUUUUUUUUUUUGUAAGAUUUUAUUUAUUUGAAAGAGAGUACGCGUGCAUGGUGGGGGAGGGGCAGAGGGAGAAGCAGACUGCCUAUGGAGCAAGGAGCCCAGUGUGGGGCUGGAUCCCAGGACCCUGAGAUCAUGACCUGAGCCAAAGGCAGAUGCUUAACCGACUGAGCCACCCAGGCGCCCAGGUGCUGGUGGGAUAUUGAACAUACUCGGUGUGUUCCAGACUAGCCUGGCGCCUGGUUUCUGGGGAGGCUGAGAUGUGGAUGAAACUGGCUGACCGGGAGGGGGAUGAUUCCCUAGUAUGCUUCCACCCUGGAGCGAGGGAGGAGGGAUCUGAUCAGAAUCUGAAGUGUUCGAUCCUUGUGGGUAGACACACCAGGUCAUUUAAGCUGAAAAACCACUUUGUGCUGUGUAGACAGAGCAUAUCUCAUCAGGCAUCUAGAAUUUCCCUUCCAGGAAAAAACAAUCUACUUGAUCAUUUUUAGAUAUUUUUAAGAGAAAGAUUUUGACCUACGCUGGGAUAGCAAAAGGCGGGUAUAAUGGCCAGUUUUACUCCGGAAGACAAAUUAAAAAUAAUUUAUAUUACCAUCACUCUUACGUGAACUUCCCGCCUCUUACACUUUUUCAUGCUUUACCUCCCUAAGCAAAUGCUUCAGGCAGAAGACACAGAAAGGUCAAUGGUGGAUACAAAGUAAGAAUUUGAGAGAGGGAAAAAAACCACUGUGUGUACUUUGUAAAGAUUGUCAGUAAUAGAUAACCUAGCAAACAGAGAAAAAGAUCUGAUAUUUCAUCUUCUUCUGUAUAAGAGGUGUAGCCCUAGGAAAUAAACAUUUCUUUUUUUUUUUUUAAAGGAAAUAA